rnacentral:tRNA from 1 species
CUGAGGGUGGCUCAGUGGUAGAGUGCUUGCCUAGCAUGCAUGAAGCCCUAGGUUCGAUCCCCAGCACUCCAA